GAGCACAGUAUUGGAGCCUCUCGAGUUUGAUCCUGGCUCAUAGGUCCUAUAAGGUAACCAGUAUUGGAUCCCCACAGUUUGUUCCCGGCCCAAUAAGACUGAACAAGGUUACCGGAAUUGGUCCCCUACCGUUUAAUAUUUUGAACCGCAUGGUUCAAUAGUGAAAGACGGCCUUGCUGUCACUUAUUUAUGGAUCCGCGCCGUAUUAGCUAGUUGGUAAGGUAACGGCUUACCAAGGCAACGAUACGUAGCCGACCUGAGAGGGUGAUCGGCCACACUGGAACUGAGACACGGUCCAGACUCCUACGGGAGGCAGCAGUAGGGAAUCUUCCGCAAUGGGCGAAAGCCUGACGGAGCAACGCCGCGUGAGUGAUGAAGGUCUUCGGAUCGUAAAACUCUGUUAUCAGGGAAGAACAAACGUGUAAGUAACUGUGCACGUCUUGACGGUACCUGAUCAGAAAGCCACGGCUAACUACGUGCCAGCAGCCGCGGUAAUACGUAGGUGGCAAGCGUUAUCCGGAAUUAUUGGGCGUAAAGCGCGCGUAGGCGGUUUUUUAAGUCUGAAGUGAAAGCCCACGGCUCAACCGUGGAGGGUCAUUGGAAACUGGAAAACUUGAGUGCAGAAAAAGAAAGUGGAAUUCCCUGUGUAGCGGUGAAAUGCGCAAAGAUUUGGAAGAACACCCGUGGCGAAAGCCACUUUCUGGUCUGUAACUGACGCUGAAGUGCGAAAGCGUGGGGAUCAAACCGGAUUAAAUACCCUGGUAAUCCACGCCCUAAACGAUGAAUGCUAAGUGUUAAAGGGGUUUCCCCUAGUGCUGCCGCAGUGCAGAAGAGGAAAGUGGAAUUCCAUGUGUAGCGGUGAAAUGCGCAGAGAUAUGGAGGAACACCAGUGGCGAAGGCGACUUUCUGGUCUGUAACUGACGCUGAUGUGCGAAAGCGUGGGGAUCAAACAGGAUUAGAUACCCUGGUAGUCCACGCCGUAAACGAUGAGUGCUAAGUGUUAGGGGGUUUCCGCCCCUUAGUGCUGCAGCUAACGCAUUAAGCACUCCGCCUGGGGAGUACGACCGCAAGGUUGAAACUCAAAGGAAUUGACGGGGACCCGCACAAGCGGUGGAGCAUGUGGUUUAAUUUGAAGCAACGCGAAGAACCUUACCAAAUCUUGACAUCCUUUGACCACUCUAGAGAUAGAGUUUUCCCCUUCGGGGGACAAAGUGACAGGUGGUGCAUGGUUGUCGUCAGCUCGUGUCGUGAGAUGUUGGGUUAAGUCCCGCAACGAGCGCAACCCUUAAGCUUAGUUGCCAUCAUUAAGUUGGGCACUCUAAGUUGACUGCCGGUGACAAACCGGAGGAAGGUGGGGAUGACGUCAAAUCAUCAUGCCCCUUAUGAUUUGGGCUACACACGUGCUACAAUGGACAAUACAAAGGGCAGUUAAACCGCGAGGUCAAGCAAAUCCCAUAAAGUUGUUCUCAGUUCGGAUUGUAGUUUGCAACUCGACUACAAGAAGUAAGAAGGGAACGUAAUCGGAGAUCAGCAGGGUUCGACCCAUACGUUCCAGGGUGUAACACACACCCCCCGUCACGACCCUAGGAGUUUAACCCCGGCUCAGCAAGUCGUAACAAGGUAACCAGUAUGGCUCCUCUAGAUA
rnacentral:rRNA from 1 species